rnacentral:misc_RNA from 1 species
UUUCCGUAGGUGAACCUGCGGAAGGAUCAUUACAAAUCUUUGGGGGCCAGUCGCCUAGUGCGCUGGCCUCACAUUAGCACAAGGUCGCAAGGCUUUGAUGUUUACGCUUGUUUGUUUGACAGAGUUAGUUGAGAAUAAAAAUAAAGACAACUUUUAACAAUGGAUCUCUUGGCUCUU